rnacentral:tRNA from 1 species
AGCGGAGUGGGGCAGUGGUUAGCCCGGAGGGCUCAUAACCCUUAGGUCGUAGGUUCGAAUAACAAGGUAAUGGAUGGAAUCCACUCCUACCUCCGCCA